UCUGAAUGAACCAGGAAUCAAAGUGAAUUCUAGAAAUAAGCGUGGUUUGUUGGGCUCGUCUGUACAGGAUCAAAUCUCUUUGCAAACCUUUAUACUGAAUGAGAUCCAACCUGACCGUCAUUGUGAACAAAUGGCUUCCCGCGAGGGUAUCUCUGGCAAUGAGGACACAGAAACAGAAGAAUUUCCUGCCCCAUCAUUUGAAGAACAGUUUAAAGACUUGACCUCUCUCAUCUCCUUCUUUGGGGAGUGCUCAAUCCAAACAUGGCAGUUUAUUGACAACAUGAAAGAGAAGUUCCCUAUUAGCUUGAAAACAGAUCUUAUGACUGACAAAGAAAGGCAGAGUCUACAAUCAUAUCCUUCCAAGAAAUCUACUCUUCUUGUUGUUGGACAAACAAAUAGUGGAAAGAGCUCCUUUGUGAAUGAACUUCUUGGUGGGUCAUUCAUGCCAACUUCUUGAGUACCAUGCACAUCUCGCACUGUCCAUCUUAAAUAUAGUGAGAAAAACUGUAUCCAGCUUGACUUCCACGGGAAUGCAAAGCUGAACGUUUCUAAGCCAAGGGAUGACACGAUUCCGUAUCCUGACAACUAGGCGCCUUUCCAUGUUCCUGCUAAGAAUCCCGUUGCAAGCGCAUCUGACCCUGAUUCGGUGAACACUCUGCGGGACCAUUGUGUCUACAGUCUUGCAGUCUUGCUUUUGCUGUUUGUGGAGGAGAAGUAUUGCAGACCACCCUAUGCCCAGACGUUAAAAGUGGAUGAGGUGUAUGCUGCCGUAGCCUGAGGAGAAGACUGUGCGUACGUCUCCGGAAUGAACGAUCCAGAGGGUCGGUCUUCUGGCGAAAGGCAAAAGGCUCGUGAAAUUGUCCUUUCCAUUUUUGACUUUCAGCAGAAGCAUAACGAGUAUCUGCUUUCAGUGAUGGAUUCUUUCAAAUCGAAGGUCACUGAGGUGGUUUCUAGUUGUGAAACCAUGCAACAAUUUGAAUCUACACCCUGAGAAAGUCAGCUUUUCUUCUCUGUCAAGGGGUUGAGCAAUUUUUAGAUGAAAAAGAAAAUAGAAUUUACGGCUGCCCUCAAGGGAGACCUUAAAAUUUCAAUUCCAUUUCCACCUACAAAGCAAUUUAUAUAGGCCAGAUUUGAUGAGAAAAGUUUUUAUUACAUUGUACAAUCUAUUAGCAUUCGAUUCAACUCAUGAAAAGACAUACAAACGAAUCGUGAAAAACUUUCUUGGGUUACAGUUUGAGAGAAGCGAUGAUUUCUCGCUCAUUUUACUUGUGCUUGUUUCGUUCAGCUUUGUUAUUUAUGUUUUUUGUCUUGCAUUUAAAGCAACCAUACAUGGUGAUGGAGUAUUUAUGUCUUAGAUCUACUUUCAAAGCUGUUUUUGGGCACGAAAAAUAGUUUCAUCUUGCUUUUUUUGAUGUAACAAAUGUGGUACCAAUGAUUAGACUCAGCCUGAACAGUAUGACCUGUAAAAGACACCGCCUCUUUUUAUUGACCUCGACUACCAAGGCAUUUUUAUAACAGGCAACCGUAACCAGCCUCUCAAAAAAAAACUUUCUAAGAACUACAGGAGUUCGGAGAUAUGUUAAGCAUUGAAACAACUUUAUUUCCUAUAUAUACUUCGCAGAUAGCUGUAGCUCGGUAGAGAACGAGGUUCGAUAAGUUUGUUUUUCGAUUAUAAACACCUCAACCAAAUAUUAGGAAGAAGUUUUAUUAGCUUUUCUUCUGCUGUGGUAACUUGUUCUAUUCAGGGAAUGACAGCAGCGUCUUAACUGUGAGCGUUUUUUCGUUCGAGUAGAUUACAAUAAUAUUAUUAAAACCGGCCAUAUCACGGUACUGUGUAGUGUUGCCAAAACGAAAAAAAAGCAAAAAUACAAGAAGGAAAAAACGAAAACAAAACAAAUUUAAAAAAUAGGAAACAAGGGAAACGAAAAGAAGGUCUGUUGCUGCAGCUGCCGUUUUUUUUUUGGUAGUAAUUAGAUCUACAGCGUAAAUAUUUAGUAAAAUCAAGCCAAAAAUGGUGCUUUUAAUCCCAUCACCAAGAGGGAUAUAGCUACAAAGGUGUCUGCCUCAUAUGUGCGAGAGGGAAAAGAGUAAAUUGUUACUUGUUUCCUGUUAGUAUUUGACGUGUGUAUACUUGCUUUAAAUAAUUCCUCUGUAAGCUUUCCAUGGAAUAAAUAGUCGUAACUUACAUGC